rnacentral:rRNA from 1 species
UACGAAGGGGGCUAGCGUUGCUCGGAAUCACUGGGCGUAAAGCGCACGUAGGCGGCUUGUUAAGUCAGGGGUGAAAUCCUGGAGCUCAACUCCAGAACUGCCUUUGAUACUGGGAGUCUUGAGUUCGGGAGAGGUGAGUGGAACUGCGAGUGUAGAGGUGAAAUUCGUAGAUAUUCGCAAGAACACCAGUGGCGAAGGCGGCUCACUGGCCCGAUACUGACGCUGAGGUGCGAAAGCGUGGGGAGCAAACAGG